rnacentral:misc_RNA from 1 species
GCAAACUUGGUCAUUUAGAGGAAGUAAAAGUCGUAACAAGGUUUCCGUAGGUGAACCUGCGGAAGGAUCAUUACCGAUGUCUCGGAGGUUGUGGGGGGGGUCUCUUGCCCCCCCCCCAGUCUCCCUUUGACACACAGACCCACCUGUGCACCAUGGAGGGCACUCCGCGGCCCUUAUGUUUUUUUAAACGCCUGGUAUCGUUAGAAUGUGACCAUUUGAUGUAAUUUUUGAACACAACUUUCAACAACGGAUCUCUUGGCUCUCGCAUCGAUGAAGAACGCAGC